UGGAAGUAGGUGCCAUCCUGCCAUGGCGAAUGCCUCUCAAGAUUCACGGCUCCCCACAUUUCUUCCCAUUUUUUCUUUCUUUUUCUUUCAACUGUACUGGAACAAGGUAGUCAUGCCACCACAGAAAUUAAAAUAAAGCAAGGAUCAUACCUGAUGAGAAGCAGAAGCAGAGAACCCACCGUGCCAAGGACAGAUCAACCCACAGGAAUGUUGACAUAAUAAACGCAUAUUGAUUUAACA